AUUGAACGCUGGCGGCAUGCCUUACACAUGCAAGUCGAACGGUAACAGGUCUUCGGAUGCCGACGAGUGGCGAACGGGUGAGUAAUACAUCGGAACGUGCCUAGUAGUGGGGGAUAACUACUCGAAAGAGUGGCUAAUACCGCAUGAGAUCUACGGAUGAAAGCAGGGGAUCGCAAGACCUUGUGCUACUAGAGCGGUCGAUGUCAGCUUAGGUAGUUGGUGGGAUAAAAGCUUACCAAGCCGACGAUCUGUAGCUGGUCUGAGAGGACGAUCAGCCACACUGGGACUGAGACACGGCCCAGACUCCUACGGGAGGCAGCAGUGGGGAAUUUUGGACAAUGGGCGCAAGCCUGAUCCAGCAAUGCCGCGUGCAGGAUGAAGGCCUUCGGGUUGUAAACUGCUUUUGUACGGAACGAAAAGCCCUGGGUUAAUACCCUGGGGUCAUGACGGUACCGUAAGAAUAAGCACCGGCUAACUACGUGCCAGCCGCCGCCGUAAAAC
rnacentral:rRNA from 1 species